UGCAGUUUGAUCUGGGGUCAGGAACCAGGGGCCAGAGUCAGGAGUCUAGGCUGAGUCACAACCUGGGAGUUGGUGCCAGGAGGUAGGCCAAGGUGAGGAAGCAGAAGUCAGAAGCAGGAGACAAAGCCAAGUCAGAAACCAGGAAGGGCGUAUCAUGUGGGGGCACCACAGAAGAAGUGCUAAGGCAGCUAUUGGAGAAUCAGACAAGCAGUGCCUAGAAGAUCCUGUCAUGGACCAGGACCUCAUUGUGCUGCUAGAUGCUGAACAAACACCUAAAUACAAAUUAAUAAAAGAAUCCAUCGCAG